rnacentral:rRNA from 1 species
UUAAGCGACUAAGCGUACACGGUGGAUGCCCUGGCAGUCAGAGGCGAUGAAGGACGUGCUAAUCUGCGAUAAGCGUCGGUAAGGUGAUAUGAACCGUUAUAACCGGCGAUUUCCGAAUGGGGAAACCCAGUGUGAUUCGUCACACUAUCAUUAACUGAAUCCAUAGGUUAAUGAGGCGAACCGGGGGAACUGAAACAUCUAAGUACCCCGAGGAAAAGAAAUCAACCGAGAUUCCCCCAGUAGCGGCGAGCGAACGGGGAGCAGCCCAGAGCCUGAAUCAGUAUGUGUGUUAGUGGAAGCGUCUGGAAAGGCGCGCGAUACAGGGUGACAGCCCCGUACACAAAAAUGCACAUGCUGUGAGCUCGAUGAGUAGGGCGGGACACGUGGUAUCCUGUCUGAAUAUGGGGGGACCAUCCUCCAAGGCUAAAUACUCCUGACUGACCGAUAGUGAACCAGUACCGUGAGGGAAAGGCGAAAAGAACCCCGGCGAGGGGAGUGAAAAAGAACCUGAAACCGUGUACGUACAAGCAGUGGGAGCACGCUUAGGCGUGUGACUGCGUACCUUUUGUAUAAUGGGUCAGCGACUUAUAUUCUGUAGCAAGGUUAACCGAAUAGGGGAGCCGAAGGGAAACCGAGUCUUAACUGGGCGUUAAGUUGCAGGGUAUAGACCCGAAACCCGGUGAUCUAGCCAUGGGCAGGUUGAAGGUUGGGUAACACUAACUGGAGGACCGAACCGACUAAUGUUGAAAAAUUAGCGGAUGACUUGUGGCUGGGGGUGAAAGGCCAAUCAAACCGGGAGAUAGCUGGUUCUCCCCGAAAGCUAUUUAGGUAGCGCCUCGUGAAUUCAUCUCCGGGGGUAGAGCACUGUUUCGGCAAGGGGGUCAUCCCGACUUACCAACCCGAUGCAAACUGCGAAUACCGGAGAAUGUUAUCACGGGAGACACACGGCGGGUGCUAACGUCCGUCGUGAAGAGGGAAACAACCCAGACCGCCAGCUAAGGUCCCAAAGUCAUGGUUAAGUGGGAAACGAUGUGGGAAGGCCCAGACAGCCAGGAUGUUGGCUUAGAAGCAGCCAUCAUUUAAAGAAAGCGUAAUAGCUCACUGGUCGAGUCGGCCUGCGCGGAAGAUGUAACGGGGCUAAACCAUGCACCGAAGCUGCGGCAGCGACGCUUAUGCGUUGUUGGGUAGGGGAGCGUUCUGUAAGCCUGUGAAGGUGUGCUGUGAGGCAUGCUGGAGGUAUCAGAAGUGCGAAUGCUGACAUAAGUAACGAUAAAGCGGGUGAAAAGCCCGCUCGCCGGAAGACCAAGGGUUCCUGUCCAACGUUAAUCGGGGCAGGGUGAGUCGACCCCUAAGGCGAGGCCGAAAGGCGUAGUCGAUGGGAAACAGGUUAAUAUUCCUGUACUUGGUGUUACUGCGAAGGGGGGACGGAGAAGGCUAUGUUGGCCGGGCGACGGUUGUCCCGGUUUAAGCGUGUAGGCUGGUUUUCCAGGCAAAUCCGGAAAAUCAAGGCUGAGGCGUGAUGACGAGGCACUACGGUGCUGAAGCAACAAAUGCCCUGCUUCCAGGAAAAGCCUCUAAGCAUCAGGUAACAUCAAAUCGUACCCCAAACCGACACAGGUGGUCAGGUAGAGAAUACCAAGGCGCUUGAGAGAACUCGGGUGAAGGAACUAGGCAAAAUGGUGCCGUAACUUCGGGAGAAGGCACGCUGAUAUGUAGGUGAAGUCCCUCGCGGAUGGAGCUGAAAUCAGUCGAAGAUACCAGCUGGCUGCAACUGUUUAUUAAAAACACAGCACUGUGCAAACACGAAAGUGGACGUAUACGGUGUGACGCCUGCCCGGUGCCGGAAGGUUAAUUGAUGGGGUCAGCGCAAGCGAAGCUCUUGAUCGAAGCCCCGGUAAACGGCGGCCGUAACUAUAACGGUCCUAAGGUAGCGAAAUUCCUUGUCGGGUAAGUUCCGACCUGCACGAAUGGCGUAAUGAUGGCCAGGCUGUCUCCACCCGAGACUCAGUGAAAUUGAACUCGCUGUGAAGAUGCAGUGUACCCGCGGCAAGACGGAAAGACCCCGUGAACCUUUACUAUAGCUUGACACUGAACAUUGAGCCUUGAUGUGUAGGAUAGGUGGGAGGCUUUGAAGUGUGGACGCCAGUCUGCAUGGAGCCGACCUUGAAAUACCACCCUUUAAUGUUUGAUGUUCUAACGUUGACCCGUAAUCCGGGUUGCGGACAGUGUCUGGUGGGUAGUUUGACUGGGGCGGUCUCCUCCUAAAGAGUAACGGAGGAGCACGAAGGUUGGCUAAUCCUGGUCGGACAUCAGGAGGUUAGUGCAAUGGCAUAAGCCAGCUUGACUGCGAGCGUGACGGCGCGAGCAGGUGCGAAAGCAGGUCAUAGUGAUCCGGUGGUUCUGAAUGGAAGGGCCAUCGCUCAACGGAUAAAAGGUACUCCGGGGAUAACAGGCUGAUACCGCCCAAGAGUUCAUAUCGACGGCGGUGUUUGGCACCUCGAUGUCGGCUCAUCACAUCCUGGGGCUGAAGUAGGUCCCAAGGGUAUGGCUGUUCGCCAUUUAAAGUGGUACGCGAGCUGGGUUUAGAACGUCGUGAGACAGUUCGGUCCCUAUCUGCCGUGGGCGCUGGAGAACUGAGGGGGGCUGCUCCUAGUACGAGAGGACCGGAGUGGACGCAUCACUGGUGUUCGGGUUGUCAUGCCAAUGGCACUGCCCGGUAGCUAAAUGCGGAAGAGAUAAGUGCUGAAAGCAUCUAAGCACGAAACUUGCCCCGAGAUGAGUUCUCCCUGACUCCUUGAGAGUCCUGAAGGAACGUUGAAGACGACGACGUUGAUAGGCCGGGUGUGUAAGCGCAGCGAUGCGUUGAGCUAACCGGUACUAAUGAACCGUGAGGCUUAACCUU